GAUGAACGCUAGCGGCAGGCCUAAUACAUGCAAGUCGAGGGGUAGAAGAGGCUUGCUUCUUUGAGACCGGCGCACGGGUGCGUAACGCAUAUGCAACCUACCUUCAUCUGGGGGAUAGCCCGGAGAAAUCCGGAUUAAUACCGCAUAAAAUCACAGGAUGGCAUUAUCCAAUGAUCAAACAUUUAUGGGAUGGAGAUGGGCAUGCGUGUCAUUAGCUAGUUGGCGGGGUAACGGCCCACCAAGGCGACGAUGACUAGGGGAUCUGAGAGGAUGGCCCCCAACACUGGUACUGAGACACGGACCAGACUCCUACGGGAGGCAGCAGUAAGGAAUAUUGGUCAAUGGAGGCAACUCUGAACCAGCCAUGCCGCGUGCAGGAAGACUGCCCUAUAGGUUGUAAACUGCUUUUAUUCGGGAAUAAACCUUAUUACGUGUAAUAAGCUGAAUGUACCGAAGGAAUAAGGAUCGGCUAACUCCGUGCCAGCCGCCGCAGUAA
rnacentral:rRNA from 1 species